AACGAACGCUGGCGGCGUGCCUAACACAUGCAAGUCGAACGAGACCUUCGGGUCUAGUGGCGCACGGUUGCGUAACGCGUGGUAAUCUACCCUCAGGUUCGGAAUAACUCAGAGAAAUUUGAGCUAAUACCGGAUGAUUACGUAAGUCCAAAGAUUUAUCGCCUGAGGAUGAGCCCGCUUAGGAUUAGGUAGUUGGUGAGGUAAAGGCUCACCAAGCCGACGAUCCUUAGCUGGUCUGAGAGGAUGCUCAGCCACACUGGGACUGAGACACGGCCCAGACUCGUGCGGGAAGCAGCAGUUGGGACUAUUGGAGCAGGAGCGAGAGCCUGAUACAGCACGGCCGCGUGAGUGAUGAAGGCCUUAGGGUCGGAAAGCUCUUUUACCCGGGAUGAUAAUGACAGUACCGGGAGAAUAAGCACCGGCUAACUCCGUG
rnacentral:rRNA from 1 species